ACGAGCAGUAACCCUGUUGAGCGCCAUAAUCAUACCAUAAUGUAUACAACUGGAGUACGAAAUGGAUUAAUAUAUUCUAUCAAUACUUAACUUGACCUUAGCAACUGAAAAGAAAUAAGCUCAGUUCGAGAAAGUUAUGCUAGGCCAGCGCGUGAUGAGGAUACUUUGGACCAUUGCAGCAGCAGCCUAGUGGGGUUUUCGACGCUUGAUGGCAAACAUCAGCGGUGGGUGAAGCCUUUGAUCGAGCAUGGAACAUAGCGAAGUACGAGGGCAAGCGUCAAUAUCCUUUCAACAAACAUCGGAUGAGCUCAAUAUUAUGUUAUGUCCUAAGAGCUAUGCAAGCUUCUCAUCCAGGCUUGGACUAUCUGUCUGGGACCCUUAACGUGCCGGGAAUGCUGUCAGUUACAGUUAGUGCUGCUAGAAUGGCAACAAAAUGGGUUGUCUGGACAGAACAGGACCGACAAGAUGGGCAAAAAAGAGAACCCCGUUUUCAGCAGCCACCUGCCUCCUAUCUUUCGUCCCUGGUUUAUUCUCGAGACUGACCGGUCCAGUGGUGGCGAUCACAACUGCAUCUACACACUGUUAAAUCAAUCGUUGAAGCUGAUGAAGA